AGUGAACGCUGGCGGCGUGCUUAACACAUGCAAGUCGAACGAGAACGGGUUAUAACUUGUUAUAACUGUCAGCUAAGUGGCGCACGGGUGAGUAAUGUAUAGGUAAUAUGCCUCUUACUAAGGGAUAACAAAUGGAAACGUUUGCUAAUACCUUAUACUCCUUAUUAACAGAAGUUAAUAAGGGAAAGAUUUAUUGGUAAGAGAUUAGCCUGUAUUGUAUCAGUUAGUUGGUGGGGUAAUGGCUUACCAAGACUAUGACACAUAACUGGUUUGAGAGGAUGAUCAGUCACACGGGAACUAAGACACGGUCCAGACUCCUACGGGAGGCAGCAGUGGAGAAUAUUGCACAAUGGACGAAAGUCUGAUGCUGCGACGCCGCGUGGAGGAUGACACAUUUCGGUGCGUAAACUCCUUUUAUAUGAGAAGAUAAUGACGGUAUUAUAUGAAUAAGCACCGGCUAACUCCGUGCCAGCAGCCGCCGUAAUAC
rnacentral:rRNA from 1 species